UACGAAGGGGGCGAGCGUUGUUCGGAAUUACUGGGCGUAAAGGGCGCGCAGGCGGCUCUGAAAGUCAGAUGUGAAAGCCCCGGGCUUAACCUGGGAACUGCAUUUGAUACUCUGGAGCUUGAGUACGGGAGAGGAUAGUGGAAUUCCCAGUGUAGAGGUGAAAUUCGUAGAUAUUGGGAAGAACACCGGUGGCGAAGGCGAGUCU
rnacentral:rRNA from 1 species